GGCUGUUGAAUGCACAGAAGCAAGGAUAACACUGAUUUUUUCACUGGUCAGAAUAAAAAUUAUUGAUUGCUCUUUUGCUUGUAGUAUUCAUCAAGAUGAAUAGGCUCCUUCAAAAUGCUUUGCUCUAUGGUUUUUCUUUCAGCUGUUUCAGUGCAGGGCUUCCUAAAACAGAAGCCAACUGGGUGAAUGUAAUAAGUGAUUUGAAAAAAAUUGAAGAUCUUAUUCAAUCUAUGCAUAUUGAUGCUACUUUAUAUACGGAAAGUGAUGUUCAC
rnacentral:sRNA from 1 species